rnacentral:misc_RNA from 1 species
AAGUCGUAACAAGGUUUCCGUAGGUGAACCUGCGGAAGGAUCAUUAGUGAUUGUUUGAAUCUUUGAUUCAACACUCUCCACUUUCUAACCCUGUGAACUUAUAUUACAACUGAUAACGAGUCCCUUCUGGGAUUUGAAGUCUUUUGUUCUUAUCUUAUAAACAUUUGAAAAGUUGCAGAAUGUCUUUUUUUAUAACAAAUAAAAACUUUCAACAACGGAUCUCUUGGCUCUC